rnacentral:rRNA from 1 species
CCAUCAUUCAUUGGGCACUCUAGCGAGACUGCCGGUAAUAAACCGGAGGAAGGUGGGGAUGACGUCAAAUCAUCAUGCCCCUUAUGACCUGGGCUACACACGUGCUACAAUGGUUGGUACAACGAGUUGCGAGUCGGUGACGGCGAGCUAAUCUCUUAAAGCCAAUCUCAGUUCGGAUUGUAGGCUGCAACUCGCCUACAUGAAGUCGGAAUCGCUAGUAAUCGCGGAUCAGCACGCCGCGGUGAACACGUUCCCGGGCCUU